GUGGUAACCCAGUAGCCCAAAAGACACAGUCCUUCUCAACAAAGCCUAACCAACAGGCAAUGGAUUACAGUGAUUCAGAGGAAAGAUAAGAAGGUUCCUUUGUCUUGGACCUCCACUAGACAUCAAGGAAACAUGCCAAAAAAGUAAACAACAAAGGCCCCCACACCUUUCCAAACUACAACCCAAAAUAAGUUGAUCUGAGAAACAAAUUGCAAUGCCGCAUGCAAAGCAGAUGUGUCCAAAUUCAUGUAGGACCAGACACAUCCUGAACCUUUCAGUGCAACAGCUGUUCAAGACUUUCUUCAAAAUCAUCCAAGCACAAGGGUUGAUAAAAUACACACAAAAUGGGUAUUUGACACCCUGGAUUCCAUGCAGGUUUGGCAGUAACCAGGGAGAAUUAGAACCCGAAGCUAGAUUUCAAAAUAGAGCUCUGGACUGAAGCAUUCUUGCACAACCAUCCCACAGACGGCUUCCGGUCUUGCUCCAACUCCAGUCCUCUGUGGGGCCUCUUCUCAGCUCUCCUGCUUUUUCCCAAACCCUCAGUAACCUCCCUCCUUAGUAGAAGGCUAUGACUUCUCUUUCCCAAACCAAUUACUUUUCCUCAAUGAACUUCUUUUCUUGAUGGAUUUAGGUUAUAACUGCUGGCUGUGGAGGCUUUCUGCUUUGGAACCAUAGAAUCACAGCUCUCACAGUUGGAAGGGAGACCAUUCACCCCAAUCCUUCAGUUACAGGGAGGAAGCUGAAGUCCCGGGAGGUGAAAUGGCUUCGGCAAGGUCACCCAGCUAUUGAGUGUCUGACAAGAGAGUGAUUCCUGUCCAUCCUCUCCUCCUGGUCAAACCCCCUCCCCUGGGGAAGCAGGGAAACACUCCCUCGGAGCUCUGGUGUUCUGACACUACAUGCCCACAAAGGCUGCUGCCACACCCACAAGGCUCCAUUUACUCAUACUUCCCCAGGUGACAACCUACUAUGUGAACAGCACUCAACCUGGUAUUGAUGGGUGGGUCGAAAGGCACAGCAUAGGCAUGAUGUUGAUUUGCAGGGAUGACCAGAGCAACCAGGGACAAACUGAUACAGGGAUCAAAAUGAUGUCUUUAAGGGAUAGCUGCCUUGAAGGAAUUCAAAGCUGGUUCCUUCAUUUAGCGAGUAUUCCUGAGUGCUGAACACAUGUCAGGUGGCAUUCCAAGUGCCAGGGUAAAGCAAUGACAAUGAUGGGCAUGAGUUCCUGGAACCUACAGUCCAGUGAGAAAGACAGAUACUGAACAAGAAAGCUGGGCAAAAGGAAGAAGUGCAGGCUGCUACAGGAGCAAGGCUUCAUGGAGGAGGCGAGAGAAGCUGUCAGCGUAGGGGAGAGAUCAGAUGGUCAAUCAAUGCCCACACCUGCUGCAGAAGCCCAGCUGUGAGCCACAGUCAGGUGACAGGACGUUUACAGGGAGGUAUCCUGGUUUCCUUAGUCCCUAGGUUGCCAAUGGAAGCCACUUCUCAAUGCCAUUCCCAAGCAACCAGGAAGACAGGUGCAUACCUCAGCCCAGG
rnacentral:lncRNA from 1 species